GCCUCGUUGGCGUAGUGGUAACGCGUUUCACUUGUAUGUUCUAUGGGAACAGCCACAUGAAGAUUGUGCUAUUCAAUGAAAAGAUCACUCGUUCAAUCCGGGUACGAGGCA